rnacentral:lncRNA from 1 species
CUGGUUGACCCCUGCCUCUGGUAGUCCGAGCUCCACCUCAACAGUCUCUGCCUCCACCUCUAUGAUCCCUACCCCCGGCUGGGCAAGAUGGGGGACACCUAGUGCUUGAAUCAUGGGGCGAGGACCCUGCUACUGAGAACUACCCGAAACUCGAGGGCAAAACCUGACAAUGUGACUCGGGUCACCACAACCAUAACAUGCCCUUGGCUGCUGAGACUGCUGGCACUGUCGACUUGUAUGUCCUCCCCUAAGGCUAUAAAGUGGCGGUGCACUGAUGGGAGCUGGUGGUGCACUGAAGGACUGCUGAUCCGAAUAAUGAUUCUGAGAACCACCACAGCCUGGAGUACCAUGAGAGACCUGGAGUGAUGACUGAAAGGGACUCGCUAGAUGGCCUCUACCCUAAGAGUCCCUACCUCCUGAUGAGGUACUGCUGAACCUACCAGAAUGACGGUGCCUCUUGUCUGACCCCUCACCUCCUCCUUGUUCAAGUGCCAUCUCUAUCCUGCGGGCCACAUUGGCCGCCUCCUAAAAGACAUAUCACUACCGGCUCACAUAGCCAACUGAAGCCGCAUCGGCUGAAUCAACCCAUCAAUGAAUCUCCACAACCUCCCCCUCUCAGUGGGGAGUAUAACAAUAGCAUGGCGUGCCAAAUAAAUAAAAUGAGUCUCAUACUGCGUGACUGUCAUAGUACCCUGAUGAAGACGCUCAAACUGCCUGUGUAGAGCAUUUCGCUAUGUCGUCGGGAGAAACUUCUCCAAGAACAAUUAUGCAAACUGAUCCCAAGUCAGUAAUGGCGAUCUUGCUAGCCUAGAUAAACAAUAGUCCCUCAACCAAGUCUUAGCUGAUCCUGCAAGCCGAAAAGUGAUAAAGUUGACCCCAUUGGUCUCCACAAUACCCAUAGUGCUGAGAACCUCAUGACAGCUGAAUAAGAAGUCCUGGGGGAUCCUUAGUAGAAGCACCGCUGAAGGUGGUGGUGAAGUGCUUGGUGAACCUAUCAAGCCUCCACAAAGCAUGUGCGGAGAUCGCUGCACCAUCGCCGGUCUGAACUGGAAUACUCGGCUGGGUUGCCACAGCUGGCUGAACUACUGGAACCUGCGGCUGACGGGCUACUUGCUCCGGAGUACGCAUAGCGGGAGUCUGAACUCCUCCCCCAGCCUGAGAUGUGGCUAGUGCUACGGGAAGCAAACCUACUCUAGAGACGCUCUCCAUAAAGCCUACCAAUCAGACCAAAGAGUCAUAGAGUACUGGAGUGGCUAUGAAAC